CGGGCGGCCGUGAACCUGCUGGAGUGCGGGGGGGACCUCCAGCCCCCCGGGGGGUCCCUGACUCUGCUCUGCCGCGCCUCCGGGUUCAAUUUUGGGAGUUUCAACAUGAUGUGGGCCCGUCAGAGCCCUGGGAAGGGUCUAGAAUACGUCGCAGAGAUCAGCGACGAUGGCUUCGCCGGCUACGCGCUGUCGGUCAAGGGUCGCUUCACGAUCUCCAGGGACAACAGGCAGAGCUCGGUGACGCUGACCAUGAACAACCUCAAGGACGAGGAUUCCGCCGUUUAUUUCUGUGCCAAGGCUGCUAGUACUGGUUAUGCUGCUCUUGUUGCUAAUGUUGAUGGUUUUGGCCCCAUCCCCUUGAGCUUUGAUUCAAAGUCUUUAAGACCAAAGUUUGGAUCCAUGGUCGAGUGCUGA